rnacentral:rRNA from 1 species
AGCGAACGCUGGCGGCAGGCCUAACACAUGCAAGUCGAGCGCCGUAGCAAUACGGAGCGGCAGACGGGAGAGUAACACGUGGGAACGUGCCCUUCAGUUCGGAACAACCCAGGGAAACUUGGGCUAAUACCGGAUACGCCCUUACGGGGAAAGAUUUAUCGCUGGAGGAUCGGCCCGCGUCUGAUUAGCUUGUUGGUGAGGUAACGGCUCACCAAGGCUACGAUCAGUAGCUGGUCUGAGAGGAUGAUCAGCCUCACUGGGACUGAGACACGGCCCAGACUCCUACGGGAGGCAGCAGUGGGGAAUAUUGGACAAUGGGCGCAAGCUUGAUCCAGCCAUGCCGCGUGAGUGAUGAAGGCCUUAGGGUUGUAAAGCUCUUUCGGCGGGGAAGAUAAUGACGGUACCCGCAGAAGAAGCCCCGGCUAACUUCGUGCCAGCCGCCGCAGUAAGAC